rnacentral:lncRNA from 1 species
GUUUUUGUUUCCCAUAAUUAAUUCUUCAUAUACAUUUUGACUGGUUUGUAAUCUUUUCUGAUUUAAAGUGACUUAUGAAGUUCUCUUUUCUGCUUCUUCAGAUUCCUUGGCCUUUUCCUCAGAGCCUGCAAGUGUUAUUUCUAAAUAUGCAAAGUUUUCACUUAGCUUUGACUUUUCAGAGUCAAGCUUCUCAUCAAAUCUGACAUGUAUUGAUUCU